rnacentral:rRNA from 1 species
UACGUAGGGGGCGAGCGUUGUCCGGAUUCAUUGGGCGUAAAGAGCUCGUAGGCGGCUUGCUAAGUCAGGUGUGAAAUCUCCAGGCUCAACCUGGAGUCGCCACCUGAUACUGGUAUGGGCUUGAGUCCGGUAGGGGAUCACGGAAUUCCUGGUGUAGCGGUGAAAUGCGCAGAUAUCAGGAGGAACACCGGUGGCGGAAGGCGGUGAUCUGGGCCGGCACUGACGCUGGAGGAGCGAAAGCGUGGGGAGCAAACAGG